UCAUGCCGUAGUGGUUCUAAUACCACAGCAGGUCCUUGCUACCAAGGAAAUCCCGGAGAUCCGCCUGUCGCACGCACUGGAUCUCGCGAAGGUCGCGAGGACCCGGAAGUCUCCGGUGACGUGUCACGACCGAGAAACUGUCGCGAACGUGCGCGUUACAGUGCUUCGAUUGCGGCCGCGGACAUUAAUUUUAGAUCAUAUCGAGAGAAAUCAUCUCAUCGGGUCGUGGAGCUUUCGGUGGCAUCAGGUGGGAGACUACAAAGGACUUUUAGAAAGAUUUCGUUGGAGGUCAUCAAGCUUUAAUCGGCCAGCUUGGCGAGUGAAGGAUUCAUUGUAUCGAUGACUGUGUGGUGAAACUGACAUUUGCUAUUAUCGAUCAUGGACAUGUGAUGGAAAUAUUGUAUCUCUGAUGUGUGAUAUCUCUCAAACUUGCUCAAAAAGGUCGUUAAAAACACCGGGAAGUUGGCCGACGGCUGGCAGAAUCCCACCCAUCGUCUACCUGAUGUGCAACUUUCGACGCAAUAAAUAUUACAAAAUAUGUGAAGCAUUAUUACAUUGAUAUUUUGGAUCGUGAGAUUGAUCUACAGAUUUCGCGACAGAGAUAUCUAAAAAAACAGAACGAUAAAUGUUGGAAGACAGUAGACAAUCCAGAGUGUUGUCGAAAAUUAUUUAUUUUCAACGACUAAGCUCUCUUGAAACAUCGAUGAUUGAGAUGACUUUGUGCCAUAAUCGAGAAGAUCUAGAAUGGCAGAUGUAAAAAUUCGUUCGAAACAGCAAGAUUUACAUUUUUGUAAACAUCUCAACGAUCAUCAUAAACGUACACUAAUGAUUUAUAGACAGUGAUGAUCCAUGGACUGUAUCUUUCAGUAGUGAUCGUGCUCCAGAAGGCCUAGAAUGGAAGAUGUAAACGUGUAUUGAGAUCAGAAACACCUCACUCUAGACAUCGAAUCUCGCAAUCCCUCGCAUUCCUGAUAAACACAUGAUUCCGGCGCGCUAGUGAUCGAAUGUGAUCUCUUCCUCUCCUGGUGAUCGCGCCUAAUCCUCGACGAUUGAUGCGAGCUGACUGAUCGCUCUCUCGAAGGAGAGACAACAGCCGGCGAGUUGGUACCGAAGAUGGUCCUGGAGCCUGGAGGCGGUCUGUCCUUUCCGUUGGCGCCUGGGAACGGCUCCAGCGCUUCCGGUGGAUCCUUGCUGGCCCCGACCAGGCUGUUCCAACGAACGACGCCGGUGUUCCCGUUUCAUUUGGCAGGAUGGCCGCCUCAUCAUCCGGUUCUGGGACAGGUGCAAAGCCAGGUACAGCAGAGCAUGCAGGCCCAGCAUCAGGCCGCUGCCGCGGCCGUCAGAUUCCUCAGUCAUCAUCACCCGCAUCAUCCGCAUCCGACGUUGAGCAAUCAUUCGCUGGUGCCGGCGAUCGCCGGACAUCAUCCCGCUGUACAUCAUCUGCAUCAUGCUGCUGAUCACGGAGAGGAAGAGGACGAGAAGAAAGCUUGCGACGGGGAGUCGGACGAGGGCGGGAACAAGAGACGAAGAAGUAGAACUAACUUCAACAGUUGGCAGUUGGAAGAAUUGGAGCGGGCCUUCCUGUCGAGUCAUUAUCCCGACGUCUUUAUGCGAGAAGCUCUGGCUGUGAGACUCGAAUUAAAGGAGAGCCGCGUGGCAGUGUGGUUCCAAAAUCGAAGGGCAAAAUGGCGGAAGAAGGAGCACACGAAGAAGGGGCCCGGAAGGCCGGCGCAUAAUGCCCAUCCCCAGAGUUGCAGCGGCGAGCCUAUUCCACCGGAAGAACUAAGACGGAAGGAGCGCGAGAGGCGACAGAAAAAGUUGCUGAAGGCUCUCGAGAGGCAACAGCGGAAGCUCGCUGCUAAAGGCAUAACAGUGGACCUGUCGACACUGCGGGCCGAGUGGGAAUCCCGUAGCGAGGCGGCAUCGGGUCGCGGCACCGCGAGCGGUCCCCUGGGCAGCUCGUUCGGUCAGCUGGGCCUGAACAACGAGAGCAGCAUCUCCGCGUCCGGCAACGACGCCAACGAGGAGAUCGACGUCGUCGGCGGACUGGAUUCCUGCAGCGAGAGCGGAAGCGAGCGGGUCGACUCGGCGGCCGACGGUUCCGUGGACGGCGAGUGCUACCCGACGCUCAACAGCAGCGCGAACGAGUCCGGCGAGCCGCGGAAGAACCCGCCGAACCCGCCGAUGGAGCACUUGAACCACCAACCCGGUAUCCAUCACUGGGGCCUGAGCCUGCUCGAGCGACGACGCGAGCUGGUGGGUGUCGUCGGGACGGGCCGUCAGCAGUCGGUCGGCACCGGCCCCAGGAAUAAUCUCAUCAGGCAGGCCGCCAGCGAGGAGGAGGUCCAGAGCGGCAGCAUUGAUCUCUCGGUGAAGGGCAGGGAGGAGAGAAAGAGGCUGAAUCCGUUCUCCAUCGACAGCCUGUUGGGGAACAACAACCGGACUUCGAGCGCGGCGUCGGAGCGCAGGCCGAUGACGCCGACGUCGCCGACAUCGCCCGUCUCGUCGGCCUGCACGUCGCCCUCCACGACGUAGUGAACAGGCGUGGGUGAGACGCCGAGAGGUGAGCCGGAUUAAAAAGUCGAUGAGAGGGUGGCACGGUGUAAUUAGCCGGGUUUUCCACCUCUGUGCGGGAAUUAUCGGUGACGAUGAAGUGCGUUUCAUCGGAUGUAUCGCUGCGCGGGCCUGGAGGAAGGGCCUGGCGAAAAGCGAGACUUGUUCUUGUUCCGUCGAGAUCGUCGCGCGAGAGGACCAAUCGUGAUAAGGGUUGAAGCGGGCAAGCAAUAUUCCCGUUCACGUUUUUAUCAGGAUGUUUUCGCUUCGAACGAAAUCGAUUCUUUCAUCGUGCAUAUUCUCGCGUGUAAGACAUUCUCACGUUCCUCGUCGUGAGCGCGUCUAGAUUCUCGACAUCCCGAGUCCGGAGGAAGCUGGAGAGAAGGAGAAAAAUCCAUGGAACGCGAAUUUUCUUAGAGAGCGAAAAUCAAGUCGCGAUUUCUUCGACUAGAGGGAUUCGAGGAUCUAAAGAUCGCAUCUCAUCGGCGUGGAUCGGCAAGACUUAUAUCACUUUGACAUAUCGAAUGCAUGCGUGACCGUCGUAGAUCGAGUGCGUUUGAUUUCGUCCAUUGUUUCCUUUUAAAAAAAAAAAGAAUGAAAAAUGUGCAAUAAACGCGGACGAACCCGUCGGCUAAGCGGGUUGUCUGUCUUUGAGGUGAGAAAGAGAAAGUGAGAGAGAAAGGAAAUAGAGCGUGAGUGUAUUUAAUGUAAAUAGCGGGAGGUGUCUGUUUUAUUUAAUUUGAGUAGUCGAUACCCCAGUGUUCGUCGAUCACGGAUAUUAUUUAAAGCAAUAGGACAGGGGUUCUCAACUCUUUACACUUGUGAUUAUAUCGGUACGUGCGAUUUUAAUUUCUCUAUAGCGGAAAUAGAGACUAGAUCAAUUUUUCCAGUGAAUAAUUUAUUUGAAGUAAUAAAAAAAAUCUGCGAUAUAUAAAUCAAUUGGGGAUACACGCAGGAAUAAAAGUUUGAGGACCUCUGCGGUAAAAAAUUUGCCUGGCGUUGUAUAUAGAUUUAAAAGAUCCUAGAGGCGAGCGCGGUACAAAGAUUUUUCUCCCGCGACCCCCGUAAGACAAAGUCGUCCCACGAGCUCAGUUUAUAGUUAGGGGUGAUAAGAGUUGCCAUACGAUGAUCCGGGAUAUGCGAAAAACCAGUACCUAUCAUAUAUCCAUUAAAAAUAUAUUAAUUUAUUCUCCAGACCACGCGCCGGCGUUCUCAGUCAUUGCGUCCCUCCGCCAUGUCGUCCCGUUCCUCUUUCCCUCUCUACCGUGCGUCUGGAAUGAAGCGACACGACAGGAUCACGGAUUCAGAAGAGCCAAAUUUGUUGUCUCGUCGACGGAUGUUUCGUCUCCAACCCCAACGUGAUCGGAGGAUCCGUGUCGAUUGCUAUGUGGACGAAGUCAUCACGUUGUCCAUGGCGAGGAUAUCGACAAGGGCUUCGUCAAAGCGAACCAGCAUCUCUGUUGACGGAAGGUACGUGUUUCGCUUACCAGCCGGCCUUUGAUCACGCGAUUUCCCCUGAUCGACUGUAAUCAUCCCUCCUGCCGACAAUCCUGAUGAUAUCGAUUGUUGCCCGUAAUACAUUUUUCCUUCGCUUUAAUUGCCUUUGUUCAACGUGAUGUAAUUUAGAGAGCUAAAAGAACCUCGAUGAAACGGAUGCAGAUGAACUUUAUUAUAAAAUAUCAUUAUAUUUCCGUCGCGUCUCUCUUCAAACGUCAAGCUCGGCGAGAAAGAAGAGGACGAUAAACGUCGAAAAAUAUUCGCCAUUAUGUAAAAGCGCUUCCCUCGUUCCCGGUGAAAAUGUGCAUUUUGAGGAAUUAAACGCAUAUAUGAAAAAAUAUCUCUCUGU